rnacentral:lncRNA from 13 species
AGUAGUAUAAAUACGUAAAACAAUAGUAUAAAUGAAACAGUAAUAUAGUGCUAUCGCUUUGCGUCAGUUUAGUAUAUUUGCAACAUUUUUUAUUGUGAAAAAUGAAAUCCUGUUCAAGCUGUGGCAAAUCUUAUCAACCUAAUCUUCCAUUUCCGCCUUCAAAAUGCGACACUUGUAAAGCAAGUGUCCCGGUGAAUAUAGUACGACCACUCAUUGAUGAAACAAAUUCUUCUACAGCUCCUCCUUUUACAGCUGAAGAAAUCAUGCGGCGCGGUGGCGGAAGAGGAGCAAUAAUUCAAAUACUACGGGAGAGGCGGGAGGCUCGUGAAAAUCGUUAAUUUAUAAUUUUGUAUAAUUUUUAAUUUUGACUUUCCACGACAAUUAGAAUAUGUAACUAUUUUUUACUCGAGAGUCGUUUACUCAAGUUUAGUUGUUUAACAAUAUUUUGUUAAUAUUAAGAUAUUUAUGAUAGCGGCUGAUGAAGGCCUAGUGAGGCAGAAAUUGGUUCCGCGUUAUUAUAAUAAUGUACAUUGCUCGCUAAUGUAUAAUGCUUGCUCCUACUUGUACAUAAUAAAAAUAUAUGUAAUUUAGAAUAA